ACGAACGCUGGCGGCGUGCUUAACACCUGCAAGUCGAACGGAAAGGCCCUGCUUUUGUGGGGUGCUCGAGUGGCGAACGGGUGAGUAACACGUGAGUAACCUGCCCUUGACUUUGGGAUAACUUCAGGAAACUGGGGCUAAUACCGGAUAGGAGCUCCUGCUGCAUGGUGGGGGUUGGAAAGUUUCGGCGGUUGGGGAUGGACUCGCGGCUUAUCAGCUUGUUGGUGGGGUAGUGGCUUACCAAGGCUUUGACGGGUAGCCGGCCUGAGAGGGUGACCGGCCACAUUGGGACUGAGAUACGGCCCAGACUCCUACGGGAGGCAGCAGUGGGGAAUAUUGCACAAUGGGCGGAAGCCUGAUGCAGCAACGCCGCGUGCGGGAUGACAGCCUUCGGGUUGUAAACCGCUUUCGCCUGUGACGAAGCGUGAGUGACGGUAAUGGGUAAAGAAGCACCGGCUAACUACGUG
rnacentral:rRNA from 1 species